GAAAUGCGAUAAGUAAUGUGAAUUGCAGAAUUCAGUGAAUCAUCGAAUCUUUGAGCGCACAUUGCGCCCGCCAGCACUCUGGCGGGCAUGCCUGUUCGAGCGUCAUUUCAACCCUCAGAACCCCUUGCGGGAUCUGGCGUUGGGGAUUGGCAUCCAGCCAGCCCCGAAAUCUAGUGGCGGUCCCUCCGCGACCUCCCCUGUGCAGUAGCGAUACCUCGCAGCGGGACAGCGGUCUGACCACGCCGUAAAACCCCCAACUUCUCAAGGUUGACCUCGAAUCAGGUAGGAAUACCCGCUGAACUUAAGC
rnacentral:misc_RNA from 1 species